CAAGUCGACGGCAGCACAGGAGAGCUUGCUCUCUGGGUGGCGAGUGGCGGACGGGUGAGGAAUACAUCGGAAUCUACCUUGUCGUGGGGGAUAACGUAGGGAAACUUACGCUAAUACCGCAUACGACCUUCGGGUGAAAGUGGGGGACCGCAAGGCCUCACGCGAUUAGAUGAGCCGAUGUCGGAUUAGCUAGUUGGCGGGGUAAAAGCCCACCAAGGCGACGAUCCGUAGCUGGUCUGAGAGGAUGAUCAGCCACACUGGAACUGAGACACGGUCCAGACUCCUACGGGAGGCAGCAGUGGGGAAUAUUGGACAAUGGGCGCAAGCCUGAUCCAGCCAUACCGCGUGGGUGAAGAAGGCCUUCGGGUUGUAAAGCCCUUUUGUUGGGAAAGAAAUCUUGCCGGUUAAUACCUGGCGAGGAUGACGGUACCCAAAGAAUAAGCACCGGCUAACUUCGUGCCAGCAGCCGCGGUAAUACGAAGGGUGCAAGCGUUACUCGGAAUUACUGGGCGUAAAGCGUGCGUAGGUGGUGGUUUAAGUCUGCUGUGAAAGCCCUGGGCUCAACCUGGGAAUUGCAGUGGAUACUGGGUCACUAGAGUGUGGUAGAGGGAUGCGGAAUUUCCGGUGUAGCAGUGAAAUGCGUAGAGA
rnacentral:rRNA from 1 species